rnacentral:rRNA from 1 species
UACGGAGGGUGCGAGCGUUGUCCGGAAUCACUGGGCGUAAAGGUCGCGUAGGCGGCCUGAUAAGUAGGGUGUGAAAUCCUGCGGCUUAACCGCAGGGCUGCCUUCUAAACUGUCAGGCUAGAGCACAGUAGAGGCAGGUGGAAUUCCCGGUGUAGCGGUGGAAUGCGUAGAGAUCGGGAAGAACAUCAGUGGCGAAGGCGGCCUGCUGGGCUGUUGCUGACGCUGAGGCGCGACAGCGUGGGGAGCAAACAGG